CUCCAGUUAGCCUAGUGAUAAAGGCUAUGGAUCGCCAACCCGGAGACGGCGGGUUCGAUUCUCGUUCUGGACG
rnacentral:tRNA from 1 species